AUUGAACGCUGGCGGCAGGCUUAACACAUGCAAGUCGAGCGGAGAUGAGGUGCUUGCACCUUAUCUUAGCGGCGGACGGGUGAGUAAUGCUUAGGAAUCUGCCUAUUAGUGGGGGACAACAUUCCGAAAGGAAUGCUAAUACCGCAUACGUCCUACGGGAGAAAGCAGGGGAUCUUCGGACCUUGCGCUAAUAGAUGAGCCUAAGUCGGAUUAGCUAGUUGGUGGGGUAAAGGCCUACCAAGGCGACGAUCUGUAGCGGGUCUGAGAGGAUGAUCCGCCACACUGGGACUGAGACACGGCCCAGACUCCUACGGGAGGCAGCAGUGGGGAAUAUUGGACAAUGGGGGGAACCCCGAUCCAGCCAUGCCGCGUGUGUGAAGAAGGCCUUAUGGUUGUAAAGCACUUUAAGCGAGGAGGAGGCUACUGAGACUAAUACUCUUGGAUAGUGGACGUUACUCGCAGAAUAAGCACCGGCUAACUCUGUGCCAGCAGCCGCCGUAA
rnacentral:rRNA from 1 species